CUUCACUUUGAGGGUUAAGCAGGAACUCCCUGUACUGUCACAUACAGUCUCUUUUAUUCCCAAUCCACAAACAUAGUACAGCCCACAGGGCGUUACAAAACAACCAAUCAAUCCAUACAAUACACCCAGACACUCCCACACAAACUCCUCCCCUCUGCCUGUGAUAUGAUUACUGAACACAAUGGGUAAUCUCAUUAUCACCGGCAGAGGAAUACAGUUUUUACACAAUAUUUAUAACUUCUAAAAUAUACAUGUCACAAACAUAAAACAUAAAUUUUCAUAAUCAAUCCAUUCAGGGGAACAACAUAUUAAAAAAUGGCACGAAUCAGACCAGGGGUUCAAAAGUUAAGGGAAAGUCCUUUGUGACUAAAUGAAGCAUGGCUUCCCGGCCCAAACCAGUUUCAGAGUCUUCUAUCCUGGAGAUAAUUGAGAGUAAUUCAAUUAUCUCCCAGGACAGACACAAGACUCCAUUAAGCACAUGGUUGCAAAAAGACACAAAACACUUUAAAAUACAUAAAGUCACCUUUUACACAUAAGACAUAGACAUUUCACAUAUCCCCAGAUAGCUGGGAUCUGAGCGCACAAAACUACCGAAUAGCACUCAGAUCCUAUUCACACAGUUCAAUUGCCAUGGAGCCGAAGUCUUUAACUACACGAAUGGGCUACAUGGCAUAGCUAUCUGGGUUAACACAUUCACAUAAAGUCUGGUCCAUAGUCCAAAGGCAAGAGGCGGGCAAGCAGCCCCCUCCAAGGACACGUGGCGAGGCCGGUUUCGCCACAAAG